GUAGGUGGCAAGCGUUGUCCGGAAUUAUUGGGCGUAAAGCGCGCGCAGGCGGUUCUUUAAGUCUGAUGUGAAAGCCCACGGGCUCAACCGUGGAGGGUCAUUGGAAACUGGAGAACUUGAGUACAGAAGAGGAAAGCGGAAUUCCACGUGUAGCGGUGAAAUGCGUAGAUAUGUGGAGGAACACCAGUGGCGAAGGCGGCUUUCUGGUCUGUAACUGACGCUGAGGCGCGAAAGCGUGGGGAGCAAACAGGAUUAGAUACCCUGGUAGUCCACGCCGUAAACGAUGAGUGCUAAGUGUUAGGGGGUUUCCGCCCCGUUAGUGCUGCAGCUAACGCAUUAAGCACUCCGCCUGGGGAGUACGGCCGCAAGGCUG
rnacentral:rRNA from 1 species